AGAGGAAGAUCGCGCGCAGCUGCUGGUCGCACCUAGCAGCAGGAGGUCGCGCCGCCUCCAUCCCGACCGGCGCCGCCUCCAUGUCAGUUUUCUCAGUUCGCGCCACCAUCCUCGACCUUCUUGCUCAAGGCAACUGAGGAAGCUCAACAUCUAAAAAAGUUGAUACCAGACUAUAUUGCUUCUUUCAUCAAAGUAGGAGAUAAGAAUGACUUUCAUAAGUACGUCGCUGAGAAUCUAGAUAGUUCGGUUCAAUUGACACCUGAACUGUCCACUCAGAUUUGGAAAGAAAAAGUGGUAGGGGGGACACACAAGGGUAGAUGCUAUGGUCUAGGCUCUCGCAACGAUGUUAGACGCCUUCAGUCAGGCUUAGAAGGUAUUGGAUUGUCACGUCAAGCUGAGGCACUUGACGGUGUUCAAAUUGCUGCUAUGUCGGAAAAAAUAGCUAAACUUACAGCGGCACUAGCAGAGUCGGAGCGAAAAAGAGUAGCUGAACAACAAAGCAUGAGUGAGACCGUUCAGCAAAUCAAAGAACAAGUGAUGAACCUCGCUCGUCGACCUACUACUUCGGCUCCCGAUGACACCGACGACGAGAGUGAUGAGGAUGAUUAUGUAGAUCUAACUCCCUAGUUUAGAUCUCUGGACAUUUAUGAACUUUUUGAAAUUUUAAAAAGAAUUUUAAAAGACUUUAUAAGUCUUUAAUUUAUGAUUUAGAUACUUUUGAAUGUUAUUUUAAGUUUGUUGUUUUAUGUUUUGUUUAGAUUGUUUAUAA